rnacentral:tRNA from 1 species
GCGGACGUGGUGGAACUGGUAGACACACAGGACUUAAAAUCCUGAGACUGCAAAGUCGUGCGGGUUCGAUUCCCGCCGUCCGCA